rnacentral:lncRNA from 10 species
AUAACUUGUUUUCUAGUUUCACAUGUCCACAGAUGAAGAAAAAUUGUGCCCCAGCAAGGAUUAUACCCAGAGCCUCAUCCAUUCAUACCUGAUUUAGAUACUUAGAUGAUGAGUAAUAGAAAAGCAUCAUCUUUAUGUAAAUCACUGUACUUGGCUUCGUGAGAAAUAUAAAAAUGAAUUGCUUCAAUCCCUGGACUCAAGGAUCCUGUGUUACCAAGGUGGUUAUCAAACCUGGGUCAAAGUUGAAUCACCUGAGGAUCUUUUAGAACAUACACAGUCAUAUGAUACUUCAAAAUCUGUGAUUCCAUGAAGCCAAGAGUAGCUCUUCAACAGGAAAUGAAUGAGUGCUUCAGCUUCUGAUCCCAUUAGUAAGAAAAUACAGUCUUAUGAGCAAUGAUGGAGCUGCAUCUCUUAGGGGCAUUUGAUUCCCAAGAGACCAAAGAGCAAAGAGAAUGUCAAUUUAAAAAAAUCAAAUGUUUCCAUGACUUAGCUAUUUAACUGCUUUAAAAUGAAUGAAUGCUGCUUCAAGUUCUUUCAAAUACCCCACAUCUUGGCAACAACGAAAGGAAUUAACAUGAAGAAAAUUUACAAUCUUUCAUCACAUCGAACAAUGUCCCACAUUUGAAAAGUUCACAGCACAGAUUUCUGGUUACUGAAAGAAAGGAAAGACCUUCUUUGGAUUUGAAUAAACAGAUGGACUUUCUUCUCCUUUUUCUUAUAGUGCCCGAUUUGUGUAAAGGGAGGUGGGAAGAAAACAUCUUAGCUUAAAAGAGUGUCCUAUAAAAUAAAAGGUUUCAUACUUGCCUAUAGCUAAUCUCUGAAGGUGGUUACAAAAGAGGAUUUCUGAAACAUUUUAUAUGCAAUGGCCCAGACAUUUGCAUAAGUGGUCAAACUUUCAAGAUGACAACUUAAAAAUAUAAUACUCCUUUUGGACAAGCUUGUUUUUAAAAUAGCAGCAUCAUUAACUUUGGCAAAUCCAAUUCUUAAAUAUCCUUUAAAAUAGUUGAUAAAAGAAAGAAGGUAUCAGAACUAUAUAAUGGUUGCACUGCAUUUUUUAAAACCUCUUAUUUUGAAAUAAUUUUAGAAUCACAGAAAGUUGCAAAUAUAGUAUAAGGAGUCCCAUGUGCCCUACAUGAUGACAUCUUAUAAAGGGAUAGUAUAAUAUCAAAACCAAGAAAUUGACAUUGGCACA